UACGUAGGGACCGAGCGUUGUCCGGAUUCAUUGGGCGUAAAGAGCUCGUAGGCGGCCACUCAAGUCGAAUGUGAAACCUCGAGGCUUAACCUCGAGCCUGCAUUCGAUACUGGGCGCCUAGAGUCUGGUAGGGGGAUCUGGAAUUCCUGGUGUAGCAGUGAAAUGCGUAGAUAUCAUGAGGAAUACCAGAGGCGAAGGCGGCUACCUGGACAAUUGCUGACGCUCCGGCACGAAAGCGUGGGGAGCAAAAGGG
rnacentral:rRNA from 1 species